GAUGAACGCUGGCGGCGUGCCUAAUACAUGCAAGUCGAGCGAACAGACGAGGAGCUUGCUCCUCUGACGUUAGCGGCGGACGGGUGAGUAACACGUGGAUAACCUACCUAUAAGACUGGGAUAACUUCGGGAAACCGGAGCUAAUACCGGAUAAUAUAUUGAACCGCAUGGUUCAAUAGUGAAAGACGGUUUUGCUGUCACUUAUAGAUGGAUCCGCGCCGCAUUAGCUAGUUGGUAAGGUAACGGCUUAACAAGGCAACGAUGCGUAGCCGACAUGAGAGGGUGAUCGGCCACACGGGAACUGAGACACGGUCCAGACUCCGAGGGGAGGCAGCAGUAGGGAAUCUUCCGCGAUGGGCGAAAGCCUGACGGAGCAACGCCGCGUGAGUGAUGAAGGUCUUCGGAUCGGAAAACUCUGUUAUUAGGGAAGAACAAAUGUGUAAGUAACUAUGCACGUCUUGACGGUACCUAAUCAGAAAGCCACGGCUAACUACGUG
rnacentral:rRNA from 1 species